AGAAACUUAGGAUAAUACUAAACCAAGGGCCUUCAAAGUCCUAAAUAGGGAUCAACCCCCUAGUUUCUG
rnacentral:tRNA from 1 species